rnacentral:rRNA from 1 species
AGCCGGAAACGGCUGCUAAUACCGAAUACGAUCUUUUCGUCGCAUGACGGAAAGAAGAAAAAGGAUGGCCUCUAUACAAAGCUAUCGCCGAAGGAGGGGUUUGCGUCUGAUUAGCUGGUUGGAGGGUAACGGCCCAACAAGGCGACGAUCAGUAGCCGGUCUGAGAGGAUGAACGGCCACAUUGGGACUGAGACACGGCCCAGACUCCUACGGGAGGCAGCAGUGGGGAAUCUUCCGCAAUGGACGAAAGUCUGACGGAGCAACGCCGCGUGAGUGAAGAAGGUCUUCGGAUUGUAAAGCUCUGUUAUACGGGACGAAAAGGACGGAUGCCAACAGUAUCCGUCCGUGACGGUACCGUAAGAGAAAGCCACGGGCUAACUACGUGCCAGCAGCCGCGGUAAAU